GAAAUCCUAGUAGAUAUUCUAUAUCCUAUCUUACAAGCACAUGUGUACUAUUUUCUUUACAUCUCAAAAACCAAAAACUUAAAUACUAUAUAAUUUCAGCAAAACAUUUAUUAAAAUGACUAUACAAAUUCUUAGAAAUUUUGAUCUAAAAUCUUAUCAAAUUACUCUAGAUAUAGCUCAAAACACAACCACUAGUGAAUUAGAUCACUUACUACCUUUAGAUUUAUAAGUGCUGACUUCAACUUCUAAUAUCUCCUUUAUUUCAAUUUAGAAUCCAUCAAAUAAUAUAUCAAAAGUAUAGCCAAAAAAGUGCUCUCUCCAAUCCUAGUUGCUAAUUAUUUAUUGCUUUCUGUACGUGUGCAUUAUAUCCAAAAGAGUGAUAGUAGGUACAAAAUCAACACCUUAACUUUGAGCGCCCAUACCUCUUUCAUAUAAUCUCUAAAUCA
rnacentral:lncRNA from 1 species